UGAGUGGCGGACGGGUGAGGUAACGCGUGGGCAACCUGGCCUGUACAGGGGGAUAACACUUAGAAAUAGGUGCUAAUACCGCAUAACGGGGGAAGCCGCAUGGCUUUUCCCUGAAAACUCCGGUGGUACAGGAUGGGCCCGCGUCUGAUUAGCCAGUUGGCAGGGUAACGGCCUACCAAAGCGACGAUCAGUAGCCGGCCUGAGAGGGCGGACGGCCACACUGGGACUGAGACACGGCCCAGACUCCUACGGAAGGCAGCAG
rnacentral:rRNA from 1 species